rnacentral:rRNA from 1 species
GCAAACAGGAUUAGAUACCCUGGUAGUCCACGCCGUAAACGAUGUCUACUUGGAGGUUGUGGCCUUGAGCCGUGGCUUUCGGAGCUAACGCGUUAAGUAGACCGCCUGGGGAGUACGGUCGCAAGAUUAAAACUCAAAUGAAUUGACGGGGGCCCGCACAAGCGGUGGAGCAUGUGGUUUAAUUCGAUGCAACGCGAAGAACCUUACCUACUCUUGACAUCCAGAGAACUUUCCAGAGAUGGAUUGGUGCCUUCGGGAACUCUGAGACAGGUGCUGCAUGGCUGUCGUCAGCUCGUGUUGUGAAAUGUUGGGUUAAGUCCCGCAACGAGCGCAACCCUUAUCCUUGUUUGCCAGCGAGUAAUGUCGGGAACUCCAGGGAGACUGCCGGUGAUAAACCGGAGGAAGGUGGGGACGACGUCAAGUCAUCAUGGCCCUUACGAGUAGGGCUACACACGUGCUACAAUGGCGCAUACAGAGGGCGGCCAACUUGCGAGAGUGAGCGAAUCCCAAAAAGUGCGUCGUAGUCCGGAUCGGAGUCUGCAACUCGACUCCGUGAAGUCGGAAUCGCUAGUAAUCGUGGAUCAGAAUGCCACGGUGAAUACGUUCCCGGGCCUUGUACACACCGCCCGUCACACCAUGGGAGUGGGCUGCAAAAGAAGUAGGUAGUUUAACCUUC